rnacentral:rRNA from 1 species
UUUUGGACAAUGGGGGAAACCCUGAUCCAGCCAUCCCGCGUGUGCGAUGAAGGCCUUCGGGUUGUAAAGCACUUUUGGCAGGGAAGACAAGGUUCUGGCUAAUAAUCGGAUCUGCUGACGGUACCUGCAGAAUAAGCACCGGCUACCUACGUGCCAGCAGCCGGGGUAAUACGUAGGGUGCAAGCGUUAAUCGGAAUUACUGGGGGCAAAGCGUGCGCGGGGGGUUUGGCAAGGAGGGUGUAAAAUCCCGGGGCUUAACCUCGGAACUGCAUUCUUAACUGCCAGGCUAGAGUAUGUCAGAGGGGGGUAGAAUUCCACGUGUAGCAGUGAAAUGCGUAGAGAUGUGGAGGAAUACCGAUGGCGAAGGCAGCCCCCUGGGAUAAUACUGACGCUCAUGCACGAAAGCGUGGGGAGCAAAC